rnacentral:lncRNA from 1 species
AUGUUUUACUUUAACAAGCUGCAUAAUAUGGCUCUUGCUGAAGGUGGAGAUGUGCGUUUACAUCUGAUGGAGAUGCAAAAUCUGAGACAUGAGCUGCAACAGAGAGGACUCAACUUUCCAGAGGCUGUGUAUUCUUUCAUGAUACUACAAUCUUUGGGUUCAGGUUGGGAGUCUGUUGCAACCCAGAUUGCUGUGCAGCCAACAGCUCAGCUGACAGUGGACUUUGUUACUGCCGUGGUUUUAAAUGAAGCGGAUCGCCGGGGUGCUAGCUGCAUGGGCAAGGGGGAGUCUUCACAGACGUCAUCCCAUAGUGCAGUGGAACCACCAGAUGGCGCCAAAGCUUUGAAGGCAGUGAAAUGCUACUCAUGUGGACGUCUAGGCCAUAUAAAGAGGGAAUGCAGAUAUCCCAAGGCCAAGACAGAGCAGCGCAGCGAAAGCUCAUCGCGUGGAAAAGGCCGAGGCAAAGGCAAAGGUCCGGUGUCUAGGACAACGCAGCACAAGGCUAUGGUUUCACGCUUCACUCCAAAGGUUGCAGAGGUCCAGAAGACGUCUAGAUCUUUCUUCGUUGUUGAUUCAGCGGCAACUCACCACAUGUGCAACGAUAAGAGACUGUUUGUGUCUUUUACACCGCAGGAAGGUGCGAUUCACCAGGCGGAUGACCACACGAUUCCCAGUAAAGGCUACGGAACUGUUGUUCUUCACAGUUUGGACUUAUCGAUACAGAAUGUCCUAUACGUGCCAGACGCCAAACAUAAUUUGCUCAGCGUUGGACAGCUGAAUGAGCGGAACAUUGACGUUUCUUUCAAGAACAAGAAGUGCAUCAUCACAAAGAAAAAUGAUUAUGUAUUGCAUGCUGAAUAUGUUGAUCGCUUGUUUGUUUUGUAUUAUGAUGAUGUUGUGCAGGAUGACACUUGUUGCAUUGCAGGUUCUAACAAAAGUUUGCAUGCAGGAUGCAUUCAUGAUUUUCAUCGAAAAUUUGGUCAUUUGCAUUUUGAGGCAGUAUCUAAGAUGCCUGCCUUGGUUGAAGGUAUGACUAUUAAACCCUGCAGGUACCACAUGAAGUGCAAAGCAUGCGCAGCAAACAAGGUGAAAAUGGCUGCGAAAGGUAAGGUGUCUAGUAGGCAAGCU